UCUCUCUCUCUUCUCUCCCCUGCGUUUCCUCUCUGUCUCUCUUUUCUCCAGUUACUGUUCAUCAUCAUCAAGCUCGCGUCCGGCCACCUGGGAGCGAGCUGCAACCACCAUUCGAUUCAUCUCUCCGUCCUCGACUCGUCUGUGGUGGUGGAACGCAGUGUUGUGGCCGGAAAACGACGAAUCGAACUGUUGAAGUUUACUGUAGCAGUGUGCCAUUUUCCGGAUUUCGGCCAUUUCCGGCGGCUUUCCUGGACUUAAUCGACUCGCCUGGCAACGGGGGUGGCAUUCCUCCAAGCCUUGUUCCACGAAUCGAAGGAAAAAUCGACGAAUCAAAGGGUGACGUACCGAGCGAUUGCUCGACGAAGGAACUCGUAUGCGUGAUCACCUGAAUAGUACUUUUGCAGGCGAAAUUAGUUGAGGUCGGGCGUACAUUGGAGUUGAGGCAUAGUCAACAGCAUGGCUUCCGCAUUUUUAUUUGAUUUAGGUUUUCCUUGAUUUCCCUUGCUGUUAGAAUUGCUCUGAUUACCUAAGCAAAUUAAUGUUAUUUAAGUUGUGAUUUGUGUUA